rnacentral:rRNA from 1 species
GCAAAUUGACACCGUAACUUCGGGAGAAGGUGUGCCGCUGGCGGUUAGUGACUUCGCGUCACGAAGCUGUCGGUGGUCGCAGUGAAAUGGCGGUUGUGACUGUUUACUAAAAACACAGGACUCUGCGAAGUCGUAAGACGACGUAUAGGGUCUGAUGCCUGCCCGGUGCUGGAAGGUUAAGGGGAUAUGUCAGCGCAAGCGAAGCAUUGAACCGAAGCCCCAGUAAACGGCGGCCGUAACUAUAACGGUCCUAAGGUAGCGAAAUUCCUUGUCGGGUAAGUUCCGACCUGCACGAGGGCAUAACAACAUCCGCACUGUCUCGACCAGGGACUCAGCGAAAUUACAUUGGGGGUGAAGAUGCCCUCUACCCGCGGAAAGACGGAAAGACCCCAUGAGCCUUUACUGCAACUUGGCAGUGAUUUUCGGGUUGUUCUGCGUAGGAUAGGUGGGAGGCUUUGAAGCCGGGCUUCCGGGUUCGGCAGAGCCAACGUUGAAAUACCACCCUGAAUAAUCUGGAAAUCUAACCUGCGCCCAUGAUCUGGGCGAGGGACACUGCCUGGUGGGCAGUUUGACUGGGGCGGUCGCCUCCUAAAUUGUAACGGAGGCGUGCGACGGUUCCCUCAGGCUGAUUGGAAACCAGCCGUAGAGUGCAAACGCAUAAGGGAGCUUUACUGCGAGACUGACAAGUCGAACAGUUGCGAAAGCAGGUGUUAGUGAUCCGGUGGUACCACAUGGAAGGGCCAUCGCUCAUCGGAUAAAAGGUACUCUGGGGAUAACAGGCUGAUCGCGCCUGAGAGUUCACAUCGGCGGCGCGGUUUGGCACCUCGAUGUCGGCUCAUCGCAUCCUGGGGCUGGAGCAGGUCCCAAGGGUUUGGCUGUUCGCCAAUUAAAGCGGUACGCGAGCUGGGUUUAAAACGUCGUGAGACAGUUUGGUCCCUAUCUUCCGUGGGCGCAGGACACUUGAGAGGAGCUAUCCAUAGUACGAGAGGACCUGGAUGGACGAACCUCUGGUGCUCCGGUUGUCACGCCAGUGGCAUAGCCGGGUAGCCAUGUUCGGAACAGAUAACCGCUGAAGGCAUAUAAGCGGGAAGCUGGCCUCAAGACUAGGUGUCCCUGACGCAAGUCACUAAAGGCCCCUCGAAGACUACGAGGUUGAUAGGCUCGGUGUGGAAGCGCUGCGAGGCGUGGAGCUAACGAGUACUAAUAGGCCGUGCGACUUGACCUC